GAAGUGUGUAUGUAAUUAAAAUCUCAUAUCAAAUAAUGAGAUUUCAUUUAGAUAGAUUUUGGUUUAUGAUCGGAAGGAAUUUAUGCACAUGUGAAUAAUUUUGUAAGAAAUUGUAUAUGUAGAAUUUGCAAUGAAACUUUUUUUUUUUUUAAGUUCAAUAAUUACAAGCACCAUAUGCAAUUCAUAAUUUUCAUACUUAUCGUAGUUGGAUAGUUAUUUUUCCUAUAUCAUGUGUAUAUCAACGAUAAUAAAAUAUCACAAAUGUGAUUUGCUUGCAUUUUGAGAAUCGUGAAUAGGUAGAAGAUUUAUGAUGUGUAGUUGUGCCCCAAUGUAUGUAUACAUGUAUAGUUAUGUGAAGAUGCCUUGAUUACCUUCAUGUAUGAGUUUCACUUGUUCUAUGUCUUGUUGUGAUUUAUCGUCAGAGAGUGACAUUGCAUCUUAUGAAUGAAACCUAGUGAAGUAUCCAUGUAAAUUUUAUGAUUCAUGAUUAAUUAGAAGUAUGUUUGACAUCAUAUAAUGAAUAGGUUUACAACUGUCUAGGAAACUCCAUCUAUUUAAUGUUUUGACUGCAAGCGCUAAGCACGUAUAGAAACAAUUCAAGGUGUAUCAAAGUUGGAAUAUGAUAUAGGCAUGAAUGAGAAAAUUUUGUAAUCGGAUGAGAUUCAUUAUAUACAUAUGCAUACAAACUUUGCGAUUAAAUCUCAUUUGUUAGCUUCAAUGAAUUAUGAGCAUCAUAUAUGAUUCAUUAUUCUCGCGCUCAUGUGUAAUUAGAUGAUUGUAUUCCCUCAAUUGUGUAUAUGUCAUUCUUCUCUUAAAAUUUCAAAUGCCAUGUGAGUACCUAGAGUUAUCAAUGAUAAAUAUCACUAAAAAUGAUUUUGGAACAAAUAAUUUCUUGAAGUAUAAGUUAGAGUUAUGAUUUAUCAUGUGUUGUUAGGGUGGCAUUUACAUGUAUAUAAUAUACAUAAACUCAAUUUUGUUUAUAAUCUACCUCAUUUAGCAUGUAGUUUAGAUGUAUCUUCGUUGGGUUGAUAAUAAUGGCUACAUGUAAACACAUUUAAAUUUCCUAUGUUUCAUGUGUAUGUUAGUAAACCCUCACAUACUUUAUGCACAAUCCUCCUCCAUGUUUUAUAUUGGUAAACUCUAAUAUUAUUUUAUGUAUAGACAUAUGUGCCAUAUUAGCGAGCUCUCCUGUGUUUCAUUAAACUCCCAUGUGUUCUAUGUUUUGUUAUCUUUCAUAUUCUAUGAUAAUGAGUCUCCAUAUCAUGUGUUAAUAGAUCUUUCACAUGGUCUAUAUAGUCAUUCCUCGUGUUGCAUGUUAGAAAAUUCUUUUAUUAUUAUUAUUUUUAUAGUGAUAUGCAUAUGUUAUAUGAAUAUAAAUGUUAGAUUGUUUAUUUUUCAUAUUCUUGUUUACUUGCAUUUCUUUAUGAAUAGUCUCUACGCUCACUUUCUAUUUGCUCCUUUUCUAUUAUUUGCGAGGUACAUUGGAGCUAUUUGGACAAACAAGUGCGAGCAUCAGUCACCCCCAUUCAUUCCGGUGGGGGUGCUACGGGCGGAACCACCGGGUCAUAGCCCCCGGUGUAAAUUUGAUAUUAACCAUCCGAUCAUCUUUUGAAGGGAUGAUGGUCUCUUGAUUUUUAUAAUAGCAUUAGGCGUUGGUUUUUAGGGAGGAUUCCACGAUCAAUCAAUUCUCAGAAGCAGCCACCCCUUUGGAGAUACCUCCUACCCAUUUCGGAGCUGCUAGAGCCGGGCAAGCUCUCCUCGUGAUUCCAGCUGCUACCUCCUUGUCUCAAGCCGUCCAAGCAAGAGGAAGAAGAAGAAGGUCUAUGAAUAGAACCGUCCAUCGUUUUCCUUGUACAGCAGAUUUCAACCAGCUUCUUUAGCAAAUUUCAGCUGUCCACCUCCAAUGUCCUUGCCCUGCCGUGAAACCUCUUCAACAAACAGACUAAGCAGCUCCUCUUUCUAAUAUCCAGAGCUGCUGUCCAUUAACGAAGAGAGAAAGAAGGCUUGCUUGCUGUUCGUUUCUUUUGGAAGAAGACAUGAAGGAAGUUGACGUUUGCUUUGUCACGGUCACAGCAACUUAAGGCAACUCAUUCUAUUCAUUUUCUCUAAGUUCAAGCAAAGGAGAGGAAGGGACCAGCUGGCCGGCCAUACAUGUAGCAGGAUAUUCCCUUCUUUCCACGAUCUAUCCUUCUAAAUUUGGAAGAAGGUUUGCUUGAUUUCUCUUGAAAGUUAAAUAGCAUGUACAUAUUUUUAUCAUGUAAUUACUAUAGGAUUAAACAAGUUUUCUCACUGUUUUUGUGAGGAUUUUGUACAGACUUUUAUCAUAUAAAUAUUCUUGAAUCAAUCAAGUUUUCUCACUGUUUUUGUGAGGAUUUGGCACA